CAUAAUACAUGUAAUUUCAUAUAUUUCAUUGUCAAAUCUUUUUACCCUAAAGUUAAAGUUAUAAAUAGUAUGUAUCAUGCACAAUUUUUUGGGCAUCAUACAUAAAUACAUAAAAAUUAAUACAUUAAAUUUAUUCAGUUGUUAUAUCAAUGUUAUGUUCUUCUAUUUUGCAAAAGAAGAGAGAUUUCGAAUAUGACAUUUAGUAUUCAUCUAUAUAGUUAAUGUCGAUAAAGGAGGAAAGCGUCAUAAAGGCAGCAACAACGCGAAGGGAAAAGUUGAGAGUCAUUAUCGAUCAUGCACUAAUAAACUCAGAUGAUGAAACAACCUGCAAACUUUCGAAAAAGACAGUCAUUCGAAAUGCACAUCCUGCAAACAUUCAAAAGCCUUCAUGCUUCAGCCACAAUUAUUCAUAAAGCACACUAACAAAUAAUUAUACAUGUUUAUUAUCAUAUUAAUGUAUAUACCAUAUAUACUUGAGAUACAUAGCGAUACAGUGAUUCACAAUAUCUCAAAGAAUGAUAUACAUUAACGUAUUAUUCGUAAUAAUGAUCGCUAUAACUACUAUAUACAUCUAAGUUAUUAUAUUGGUUGUAUGUAUCAUAUUCACAAAAUUAGCCUGAUACACGUUAUAGCAAUCAAUGCUACUCUCACAAAAAGAUACAAAAUGUAUUUGAUACAUGUUAAUUCCUACUUUUUUGAAGUAUGUAUCAUGUAUAAUUCAUUAUGUUUAUUUGUUGUUAUUUUAUGCUUAUCACAUUGAUACACAUUCUCUUAGAAUGAUUUAUGGAAUACCACCAAAAAACUGUAGAAAUAUCAUAUACAAAAUUAAUUUCACACUGUUGACAAUUUACAGUAUCAUGAAUAUCUUAUCAAUAUCAGAUAAUCAUCAAAAGCAAAAAACAAUUAUCAACAUAAUACAUAUCUGCUAAUAAUAAUAAUAAUAAUAAUAAUAAUAAUAAUAAUAAUAAUAAUAAUGAAUCAUACAAGAUUAGAGAUAGAGAUAAAAAAAAACUCACAUACCUUUUUCUACAUUUCGCUUUGUCAAAGUUAUGUGUCUCUGCACCAAUCUUCUCUGUUGUAUCAAAACAUAAAGGAUAGAUUGUAAAUUCAAGCUCGUUUUUUCACCAUCAAAUAUAGUUUUACACCCAUGUCGUUUUUAAUUUUCAAUGGAGAUGAGUUAUAUGUGUCUAAUUUCUAAGAUUUGCCUAAUCUCAUUUGUCUCUAACUUGACUGAAAUGACAACUUUGAGAUUGAUAAUUUCAAUGCUUUUGUAACCUUCAUAACUCAUCUUGCUUACCCGAAUUUCUGAGUCUCUCAACAAAGUCGAUAUAUAUAUUCAUAUUGUAUCAACCAACAUUGUUGAGUGAUUUAAAUUUUUCACGAUUUGGGAUGCAAUGGCGGCUUGAUGGAGAUGGCAAAAAUUUGAAUUCUAAAAGACAUGAACCUUUU
rnacentral:lncRNA from 1 species